rnacentral:rRNA from 1 species
UACAGAGGUCUCAAGCGUUGUUCGGAUUCAUUGGGCGUAAAGGGUGCGUAGGCGGUCGUGCAAGUCGCGUGUGAAAGCCCCCGGCUCAACUGGGGAGGGUCACGCGAUACUGCUCGACUCGAAGGCAGGAGAGGGAAGUGGAAUUCCCGGUGUAGUGGUGAAAUGCGUAGAUAUCGGGAGGAACACCAGUGGCGAAGGCGACUUCCUGGCCUGUUCUUGACGCUGAGGCGCGAAAGCUAGGGUAGCAAACGGG